rnacentral:rRNA from 1 species
AGAGUUUGAUCCUGGCUCAGAUUGAACGCUGGCGGCAUGCCUUACACAUGCAAGUCGAACGGUAACGCGGGGCAACCUGGCGACGAGUGGCGAACGGGUGAGUAAUAUAUCGGAACGUGCCCAGUUGUGGGGGAUAACUGCUCGAAAGAGCAGCUAAUACCGCAUACGACCUGAGGGUGAAAGCGGGGGAUCGCAAGACCUCGCGCAAUUGGAGCGGCCGAUAUCAGAUUAGGUAGUUGGUGGGGUAAAGGCCUACCAAGCCUACGAUCUGUAGCUGGUCUGAGAGGACGACCAGCCACACUGGGACUGAGACACGGCCCAGACUCCUACGGGAGGCAGCAGUGGGGAAUUUUGGACAAUGGGGGCAACCCUGAUCCAGCCAUGCCGCGUGCGGGAAGAAGGCCUUCGGGUUGUAAACCGCUUUUGUCAGGGAAGAAAAGACUCCUACUAAUACUGGGGGUUCAUGACGGUACCUGAAGAAUAAGCACCGGCUAACUACGUGCCAGCAGCCGCGGUAAU